rnacentral:rRNA from 1 species
CUAAUACAUGCAAGUCGAGCGAACAGACGAGGAGCUUGCUCCUCUGACGUUAGCGGCGGACGGGUGAGUAACACGUGGAUAACCUACCUAUAAGACUGGGAUAACUUCGGGAAACCGGAGCUAAUACCGGAUAAUAUAUUGAACCGCAUGGUUCAAUAGUGAAAGACGGUUUUGCUGUCACUUAUAGAUGGAUCCGCGCCGCAUUAGCUAGUUGGUAAGGUAACGGCUUACCAAGGCAACGAUGCGUAGCCGACCUGAGAGGGUGAUCGGCCACACUGGAACUGAGACACGGUCCAGACUCCUACGGGAGGCAGCAGUAGGGAAUCUUCCGCAAUGGGCGAAAGCCUGACGGAGCAACGCCGCGUGAGUGAUGAAGGUCUUCGGAUCGUAAAACUCUGUUAUUAGGGAAGAACAAAUGUGUAAGUAACUAUGCACGUCUUGACGGUACCUAAUCAGAAAGCCACGGCUAACUACGUGCCAGCAGCCGCGGUAAUACGUAGGUGGCAAGCGUUAUCCGGAAUUAUUGGGCGUAAAGCGCGCGUAGGCGGUUUUUUAAGUCUGAUGUGAAAGCCCACGGCUCAACCGUGGAGGGUCAUUGGAAACUGGAAAACUUGAGUGCAGAAGAGGAAAGUGGAAUUCCAUGUGUAGCGGUGAAAUGCGCAGAGACAUGGAGGACACCAGUGGCGAAGGCGACUUUCUGGUCUGUAACUGACGCUGAUGUGCG